rnacentral:tRNA from 1 species
GGCUUCGUAGCUUAGCUGGUAGAGCGCUUGGCGCGUUAUGGCAUGAUGUAUCUGUGGCUGGUUCGAAUGCAGCCGAAGUCC